UUAAAUCAUAACAAUUGUUAAAUGUUUUGCCAAAUCAGGUCCAUAUCAGCAAAAUGAACACGUCUUUGAGCCCCAAAAACCAGGAACACGCCUUUCACAGUUUCACUUUCCUUUCCUUAGAAAACCCACCCAAAUUGCAGAAUCCAGAAACAAGGUUGAAGAAGAAAUUGGAAGCGAAAUAGAAACCCUAAAUCCCCAAAAUUGUGGUUCGACAGUCGAUACCCAUAGCCCGGUCCUUCCCGCCAUCAUUCGCUCGUCAAACAGCCCAAAUGAAGCAUAAAGAACCAGGACCCUUCCAUUUCUGCAAUUCGAGCGAAUGGACGGACAACAUGAAGCUAAAAUGUCGAACUUUUUGUGGUUUUUCAUGGGUACGAAGAGUCCAUUCUCGUGGUAAAGAUUAAUGGAUAAAUUUCAUUUCAUUUCUAGUUUGAAUAAUUUGGCAAGGUUAUUGGAUUUGGAUGAUGCAGUUUUCUUCUCCUUUUUUAACGAUAAUGCACAUCUUUCACAAUUUUUCCCAUAUCUCUGUAUAUGUGUACGGUGCACUGAGUGGUGCAACAUAAAGUAUAAGGCAAAUGAGGGAAGAAGGGUGCAAGGGAUUUAUAAACUGGGCUGCAAAUGGUGGACAUGGGUUUCGAGGGCAGGAAAACGAUGAAGUGCGAAUCAUAGUACCUCUACAGGAACACAUGUUUGCUAAUGUGUUUCCCUUUUUGACGAAAGCUGCUAUGGGAGUUGGAUCAUUUUGUUGCAGUGAAGCAGCCAUAUUUCAAACAAGAUUUAGAAGAACCCAAAUGUAUAAAGUAGACAGGACAAUGGUUUUCCUUGGAACAACAAUUGAAUUAUGGUUCUUUCAAAUGUAAAUGAUUUUGCAGUAUAAAUUGAGAACCUAUUAUGUAUGGUUGGUUGGGUAUAUAUUAGCAGAAAUUGUGUUUGUAAUCCUUUGUGUUUAAAGUUGUGUUGUUUAAACAAUAAGCCAUGCAAACCAAUAUAGAAAUAAAAUGUCCUGAUUGAAAUACAGAGAUGAAUCCACCAGACGUCCAAACCUAAAUUUGUUAACAAAGUUAAAAUCAAGCGAUGAGAAUUUACUAAGAUCACCGGAAAUGGCUACAAAAAUUAGAAAAUUUUAACAAACUAGUGCGGGUGGUGGCGAUGUGAGAAAUUCAACGUAGAAAGAUGGCAUAAUUGAUAUUAAUUAACGCAAAGAUAGGGAGUAAUAGUCGCAAGUGUAUAACUUGAGGGGACCAUCACACCAGGGUUUGAGGUUUGCACAAAGAAUAGACUUUUUCACUUUUUUAUUUUUUUAUUUUUUUCCCAUAAUGUAGGUAGUAAUUUUUUUAUAAGUAUAAUUACCGUGUCAAGUGUACCAAAAUUAAUUUUGUGGUAUUGAUUUUUUUACACAUAUAUGCAUGGUAAUUACGUGUAAUCAUUUUUAUGGCUUAUGGAAUUUGAAUUUGGAAAAAGUUCUAUAAUUUUGAUUAUGAUAUUUUUAUUUUACUUACCAAUUUCAGUUCCAACUUGGAAAUUCUAUUUAACCCUCUCUUUACCCCCAUUAAUUUCGAGUUAAAUGUUUCAUUAGUCACUGAUCUUUGAGGUACGUCACGACUUACCCAUCGAACUUUCAAACUUUUUCCACUGGCCACUGAACUUUAAUCCGUUACCGCCCAUUACGCACCGGACCAGAUCUGUUAGUUGACGAGUCUACGUGGCAAAUGGAAAACUGAGUUGGCUGUUAAAUCCUUACAAUUGUUAAAUGUUCUGCCAAAUCAGGUCCAUAUCAGCAAAAUGAACACGUCUUUGAGCCCCAAAAACCAGGAACACGCCUUUCACAGUUUCACUUUCCUUUCCUUAGAAAACCCACCCAAAUUGCAGAAUCCAGAAACAAGGUUGAAGAAGAAAUUGGAAGCGAAAUAGAAACCCUAAAUCCCCAAAAUUGUGGUUCGACAGUCGAUACCCAUAGCCCGGUCCUUCCCGCCGUUGUUCUCUCGUCCAACAGCCCAAAUGAAGCGUAAAGAACCAACACCCUUCCAUUUCUGCAAUUCGAGCAAAUGGACAGACAACAUGAAGCUAAAAUGUCGAACUUUUUGAGGUUUUUCAUGGGUACGAAGAGUCCAUUCUCGUGGUAAAGAUUAAUGGAUAAAUUUCAUUUCAUUUCUAGUUUGAAUAUUUUGGCAAGGUUAUUGGAUUUGGAUGAUGCAGUUUUCUUCUCCUUCUUUUCUAACGAUAAUGCACAUCUUUCACAAUUUUUCCCAUAUCUCUGUAUAUGUGUACGGUGCACUGAGUGGUGCAACAUAAAGUAUAAGGCAAAUGAGGGAAGAAGGGUGCAAGGGAUUUAUAAACUGGGCUGCAAAUGGUGGACAUGGGUUUCGAGGGCAGGAAAACGAUGAAGUGCGAAUCAUAGUACCUCUACAGGAACACAUGUUUGCUAAUGUGUUUCCCUUUUUGACGAAAGCUGCUAUGGGAGUUGGAUCAUUUUGUUGCAGUGAAGCAGCCAUAUUUCAAACAAGAUUUAGAAGAACCCAAAUGUAUAAAGUAGACAGGACAAUGGUUUUCCUUGGAACAACAAUUGAAUUAUGGUUCUUUCAAAUGUAAAUGAUUUUGCAGUAUAAAUUGAGAACCUAUUAUGUAUGGUUGGUUGGGUAUAUAUUAGCAGAAAUUGUGUUUGUAA
rnacentral:lncRNA from 1 species